rnacentral:rRNA from 1 species
CGCGGCCUAUCAGCUUGUUGGUGGGGUAGUGGCCUACCAAGGCGACGACGGGUAGCCGGCCUGAGAGGGUGACCGGCCACACUGGGACUGAGACACGGCCCAGACUCCUACGGGAGGCAGCAGUGGGGAAUAUUGCGCAAUGGGCGAAAGCCUGACGCAGCGACGCCGCGUGGGGGAUGACGGCCUUCGGGUUGUAAACCUCUUUCAGCAGGGACGAAGCGGAAGUGACGGUACCUGCAGAAGAAGCACCGGCCAACUACGUGCCAGCAGCCGCGGUAAUACGUAGGGUGCAAGCGUUGUCCGGAAUUAUUGGGCGUAAAGAGCUCGUAGGCGGUUUGUUGCGUCGGCUGUGAAAUCCCGAGGCUCAACCUCGGGUCUGCAGUCGAUACGAGCAAACUAGAGUGUUGCAGGGGAGACUGGAAUUCCUGGUGUAGCGGUGAAAUGCGCAGAUAUCAGGAGGAACACCGGUGGCGAAGGCGGGUCUCUGGGCAACAACUGACGCUGAGGAGCGAAAGCGUGGGGAGCGAACAGGAUUAGAUACCCUGGUAGUCCACGCCGUAAACGUUGGGCGCUAGGUGUGGGGCUCAUUCCACGAGUUCCGUGCCGCAGCUAACGCAUUAAGCGCCCCGCCUGGGGAGUACGG